AUCGCUUCUCGGCCUUUUGGCUAAGAUCAAGUGUAGUAUCUGUUCUUAUCAGUUUAAUAUCUGAUACGUCCUCUAUCCGAGGACAAUAUAUUAAGUGGAUUUUUGGAGCAGGGAGUUGGAAUAGGAGCUUGCUCCGUCCACUCCACGCAUCGGCCUGGUAUUGCAGUACCUCCAGGAACGGUGCACCCCCU
rnacentral:snRNA from 1 species